UUCCACCGCGGGCUUUGGCUUGCUUUGUCUAUUCAAAGGAAUGAGUUGGUAAUCGAUGCAGGAUUAACGGGAACAGGAGGGGCGAGGCAUGAUUGCUCUCUCCCACCCACUAUGGCCGUUUGACAGCGAGACAGGACCCUGUGUCAAGGUCAGUACAGAACCGUGCCAGUUCUUGGCGCCUAGCUACCUUUUCAGUACCCUUCAAUGUCAAAGCCCAGAAAGCUUGUGUGCGUUGGGGGGUUUGAUCAUGGCCUCCUCGCCGCUGUUGCCCCCCGCAGCUUUCUCUAUAGCCACUGUUUCCACCACGCAUAAUUGCCAGUUCACAAAGCAUGGCAUGAUGUCGAAUUGUUGACGCCGAAGCGGCCGCAGCAGGAUGUGUGCUCGAUGGCUUCUGCUCCGUGCGCCGUGCUUCUCCCCCUCUGCGACGCUGCGACUGCGAGCAAGCCUACUGCCAAAAGCUCAUCAUGCCUGAAGCUGGAAAGCAACAGCACGGCAAUGCCACAAUGGUACUACUACUCUGGAUCUGAAAGAGGGAGGCUGCCUGGUGACUUUGCCACUUAGGCUGUCUCCAGCAACGUCCUCUAUAUUCAUCCUCUAUAUCUGUCCUUUACAGUCUCCUCUAAAAGAUUUUAUCCUCUAUAUCUCAUUUCUCUCCAACAACGUCCUCUAAAUCACGUUCUUUAUACUGAAAUACCCAUAUUAAAGACAUUUUUUAAUUUUAUUUUUUUUGUACAUACGUGUU